CCUCCUUUGUAGAAUGUCUUGUGAGAGCUUUGCUUUCACUCAGGGAGAUUCAUAUGCCUACGUAAAGAAACGGGGAUAGAAUAGGUCUUGCUUUCUCUAAACCAUCUUUGGUCACAUUUCUGGAGCAAAGAAAAGAGCCUUGGGAUGUCAAGACACAAGUUACUUUAGCCAUCCACACAGG